UACGUAGGGGGCAAGCGUUGUCCGGAUUUAUUGGGCGUAAAGAGCGUGUAGGCGGCCUAGUAGGUCAGCUGUGAAAACUCGAGGCUCAACCUCGAGCUGUCGGUUGAAACCACUAGGCUAGAGUCCGGAAGAGGAGAAUGGAAUUCCCGGUGUAGCGGUGAAAUGCGCAGAUAUCAGGAAGAACACCCGUGGCUAAGGCGGUUCUCUAGUACGGUACUGACGCUGAGACGCGAAAGCGUGGGGAGCGAACAGG
rnacentral:rRNA from 1 species